GACGUAGGAUGCAAGCGUUGUCCGGAAUUAUUGGGCGUAAAGAGUUCGUAGGCGGUUGCCUAAGUCUGAUGUUAAAUACUGGAGCUCAACUCCGGCAUGGCAUUGGAAACUGGGCGGCUAGAGUGUGGUAGAGGUCGUCGGGAAAUUCCAGGUGUAGCGGUGAAAUGCGUAGAUAUCUGGAGGAACACCGGUGGCGAAAGCGCGAGACUGGGCCAUAACUGAGCGCUGAGGAACGAAAGC
rnacentral:rRNA from 1 species